GGGUGCGAUCAUACCAGCGUUAAUGCACCGGAUCCCAUCAGAACACCACAGUUAAGCGCACUUGGGCUAGAGUAGUACUGGGAUGGGUGACCUCCUGGUAAGUCCUAGUGUUGCACCCU
rfam:Picea glauca, whole genome shotgun sequence.